CAAAGAAUUGGCUUGCGUAUCAUAUACGUUAGUCUUCUUUAUCAUGAAGCUCUGGCUCUGGUGGCCGUGAGCAAAUUUAGACCUUCAAAGGGGGAUGGCUAUAAUCAUGUGAUUUCUCCUUUACUGUGAUCAUUAUUCAGCUUAGUGCUUUCAUGAUAAUCUAGUAAACACCAACAAAUUUUAGAUUCCGAUUAAAAUCUUCCACAAGUAUGGGAUCAAGAAGAAGCUACCUAUAGAAGGAUACAGCACCAUUUAACCACUUUCACAAAAAGGAAGUCCAAAGAAGUUACAGGCAUAUAUCUUACAAGCCGUCUGUCUUGGAGAUGAACCAGAGAUCACCACCACUACAUAGAAUACUAACUGGUAUCGGAAAAGGGCACACAGAGACUUGCCAAGAGAGCAAAUGAACACUGGAAGUUUAAACUACUGUGACAAAGGAGACAGCAAGCACCCUGGUUACUAGGAGUGACCAUCCGC